UACGUAGGGUGCGAGCGUUAAUCGGAAUUACUGGGCGUAAAGCGUGCGCAGGCGGUUUUGUAAGCCAGAUGUGAAAUCCCCGGGCUCAACCUGGGAAUGGCAUUUGGGACUGCAAGGCUGGAGUGUGGCAGAGGAGACUGGAAUUCCUGGUGUAGCAGUGAAAUGCGUAGAUAUCAGGAGGAAUACCGAUGGCGAAGGCAGGUCUCUGGGUUGACACUGACGCUCAUGCACGAAAGCGUGGGGAGCAAACAGG
rnacentral:rRNA from 1 species